rnacentral:rRNA from 1 species
AUUGAACGCUGGCGGCAUGCUUUACACAUGCAAGUCGAACGGUAACAGGCCGCAAGGUGCUGACGAGUGGCGAACGGGUGAGUAAUGCAUCGGAACGUGCCCAGUCGUGGGGGAUAACGCAGCGAAAGCUGUGCUAAUACCGCAUACGAUCUAUGGAUGAAAGCGGGGGACCGUAAGGCCUCGCGCGAUUGGAGCGGCCGAUGUCAGAUUAGGUAGUUGGUGGGGUAAAGGCCUACCAAGCCGACGAUCUGUAGCUGGUCUGAGAGGACGACCAGCCACACUGGGACUGAGACACGGCCCAGACUCCUACGGGAGGCAGCAGUGGGGAAUUUUGGACAAUGGGCGCAAGCCUGAUCCAGCAAUGCCGCGUGCAGGAAGAAGGCCAUCGGGUUGUAAACUGCUUUUGUACGGAACGAAACGGUCUGGGUUAAUACCCUGGGCUAACGACGGUACCGUAAGAAUAAGCACCGGCUAACUACGUGCCAGCCGCCGCAGUAAGAC